rnacentral:rRNA from 1 species
GACGAACGCUGGCGGCGUGCCUAAUACAUGCAAGUAGAACGCUGAAGGAGGAGCUUGCUUCUCUGGAUGAGUUGCGAACGGGUGAGUAACGCGUAGGUAACCUGCCUGGUAGCGGGGGAUAACUAUUGGAAACGACAGCUAAUACCGCAUAAGAGUAGAUGUUGCAUGACAUUUGCUUAAAAGGUGCAAUUGCAUCACUACCAGAUGGACCUGCGUUGUAUUAGCUAGUUGGUGGGGUAACGGCUCACCAAGGCGACGAUACAUAGCCGACCCGAGAGGGUGAUCGGCCACACUGGGACUGGGACACGGCCCAGACUCCUACGGGAGGCAGCAGUAGGGAAUCUUCGGCAAUGGACGGAAGUCUGACCGAGCAACGCCGCGUGAGUGAAGAAGGUUUUCGGAUCGUAAAGCUCUGUUGUAAGAGAAGAACGAGUGUGAGAGUGGAAAGUUCACACUGUGACGGUAUCUUACCAGAAAGGGACGGCUAACUACGUG